rfam:Flavobacteriaceae bacterium TMED179 145343, whole genome shotgun sequence.
AUUAAUAAUCGAGGGGUCGGGAACCUCUAAAAAUUAAU